GCAUUUUCAUAAACUAUCACUUACUGAUUCUACUGGUUGUAAUUUAAUUCUUUCUCUUUUUAAUGAUCCAGAUUAAGUUGCAUAGAUCUAAACUGGAUCUAAAAGAGCUGUUCAUUGCUUUUAUCUUUGAAUACUUUGGGAUAUAUCAUCUCAAUCUGUUAAAAUGAAAAUUUAAUUUUCUGAUUAGACAUAGAUGGAAUGCUAUACUCAGAAAUGGGAGAUGAUCAAAUAUGGAAAUAAAUUGAUAAGUCUUUGUUUAAGGUCUGCCAUGCAGUUUGGAAGAGAUUCAAGAGGUACUCUAGUCCGGACCCUUCUCUGAAUGACACUGGGAUUUCUUCCUUCUGUACAAUGGAGAAGUGCAGUGGUCCAAAAAACUGUCUGGGGACAGAGAUCAGUCGUCACACAACCUCAGAGGAAUUGUGGCUCAGACCUGCAUCACUCACUACAGCCUGUCCGACAGCAUCCUGCCUCCAGCCACAGCUUCCCCACCUACCAUGCAAGGACCCUUCUGGGAAGGCAGCCCAUGGACGUGCAGUAAAAGUUGGCUGGAUACCUUUCUUUCUAGAUGAACUAUGGCUGUUAUGUCUCUGUGUUGGAGUAAGAGGGACUGCUCAAGACCAAAAUUUCAAAACCGUUAGUUAA
rnacentral:lncRNA from 1 species